GAUGAACGCUGGCGGCGUGCCUAAUACAUGCAAGUCGAGCGAACGGACGAGAAGCUUGCUUCUCUGAUGUUAGCGGCGGACGGGUGAGUAACACGUGGAUAACCUACCUAUAAGACUGGGAUAACUUCGGGAAACCGGAGCUAAUACCGGAGAAUAUUUUGAACCGCAUGGUUCAAAAGUGAAAGACGGUCUGGGUGUCACUUAUAGAUGGAUCCGGGCUGCAUUAGCUAGUUGGUAAGGUAACGGCUUACCAAGGCAACGAUGCAUAGCCGACCUGAGAGGGUGAUCGGCCACACUGGAACUGAGACACGGUCCAGACUCCUACGGGAGGCAGCAGUAGGGAAUCUUCCGCAAUGGGCGCAAGCCUGACGGAGCCACGCCGCGUGAGUGAUGAAGGUCUUCGGAUCGUAAAACUCUGUUAUUAGGGAAGAACAUAUGUGUAAGUAACUGUGCACAUCUUGACGGUACCUAAUCAGAAAGCCACGGCUAACUACGUG
rnacentral:rRNA from 1 species